rnacentral:tRNA from 1 species
UCCCUGAUGGCUCAGCUGGUAAAGAAUCCACCUGCAAUGUGGAUGACCUGGGUUCAAUUCCUGGGUUGGGAA